CAGAACUGCCUGCAGUCGACUGUUUGAAGCUUCGCAGUGUUCCCGGGCGAGAUGCAUCCUCAUCUUCAGUUCGGCGCCCAGUUGACCUUGGGGACGACUAUUAGGACCAGGUAGCUUGCUCUGGGCCCUAGCACACAGAGCUCUGGAUUCCCAAAGCCUCAGAACCUAACUGAUAUCAGGCACUAUGCUCAUUCUACAAAGGAUCAUGUUUGCAGAGUACUGACCACCAUCUAGGAAGAGAAGCUUUGUUUAUGAUGAGGACCUUUAGUUUUUGCUGAGUUGUGAGAUUUUACAACUCUGCACUUGGGCAUAAAGAACAAAUAAUUAUCACAGACCUGGAUUCCCUAAUAAACCUCCAGCUCAAUGUUAUCAUCAGUGAAGCAUCCCAGGACAUUCUUCAGGGACCUAGAAGAUCUUCUGUUCACUGACUCUGAAUCAAAACUCCACUCUGGGGGCUUAGCACAUGAACGGCUCUUAGAACCCUUCUGCCCCAUCCCAAGCCCUUCUGCUAGCUUGGAGCUCACUUGGGUUUGUGGAAUCUGUA
rnacentral:lncRNA from 1 species